CUUACCACUUAUGAUUGAACAAAUUGUACAGCCAUACUCCCUAAUAUUUGAUGAUUUUUUUUCGCAACAAACCGGAAGAAAAUAUACAAAUGUAAACAAUCUGAAUUGUCGAAACGCUCGCAGACAUAUUUUCGAAUUGCGGCAAAAUCCUGUCUGCGCGAUCAGUCAUCGGAAAUUAGAACACGUUUGCUUCUAUAACGGAUUGUCCAUGUAUUGUGAAGGACGCAGACGUGCCCCGACAGGCAAUGGGGGAAAUGCAGCAGCCCAGACCUUUCACCCAUGCAUCUGUGAUGUGUUUAGCUCUACCCAUGUGAAUUUAUGAGUGUUGUACACUUGCCAAAGCCCUCUAGCAGUUUCUUAUUUACCAACCUUUUCCUUAUUUUAUUUUAAUUGGUUCCUAGUUUGUUUGUUUUUUCUAGUUUUUACCAAAAGCUUGAAUUCCUAUUUGUCUAGAAAUUGAUUUAGUUAUUUUUCAUGGUCAGUUGUUCAUAUGUUGAAUUGAUAUGAUUUGUGAGGCUGGGUUCAUCCACUCUGAAAAAAGAACAACUAAGUAUGGGUAUAUUUUAAUAAAAUAUUUUAAAUCCAGUCUAUAUGUGUGGUGUUUUAUGAAAGUUAACCCACGUUCCACUUAUAUUUUGUGGAAUAAGUUUGCACAAAACAUCACUUUAAAUGUUAUUAUGUAUAUUUUGCUUAUCCUUUAAAAUAGAUUUUCUUAGUCAAGUGAGAAUAAAACACCUUCAUAAGCAUAGUAUCUGUACAAAGUUUACAUGAAUAUUUACUACAAUAGAACCUUGACAUGCAUUGUGUGCUGUUGCUUCCUUAUACAUUCUCAUGGUUUUGUGUGACAAACUGUCUGAUAUGCUAUCCAGAUUUGAUUCAUACAACGAUAUGUUGUUUUCAUUUAUUUUUACUGUCAUUUCGGUAUCAGAUAAUGCUGUCCUAUACAAGCAUUAACACUACAUAGAUAUAUGUAUUUAUUUUUUAUCACUGCCUUUUGCAUUAAAAUAUACAAUCCCUGUCAGAGCAGAGCAGGACUGUUCAAUUUAUUGGAUACUCCUUUAGAAAACUGGUCCUUGUUAUUUGCAUUAACUGUAAUCUUGAAUUGUCAUGUGCAACCUACACAGACUGAAAUCGCUAAAUAUUUUCUGGUUUCAUGUAAUUGUUUGUUUAGAAUCUCUAAUUUGUGCUCUGAGAAAUGAAACUUUCCUCUCAGAAAGCUUGUGUUGUCUCCAGUGGGCAAAGGCUAAUCUAAGAUAACAUGGGGCAACAUUAGAUUGUAUAUUAUAGUAAUUUUAUGCAAGUGCAAGUGUGUGAUCUCAGGUAGGGCCCAUUUUAUUUCGUUUUAUCUACUUCUUGUUUUCUAUGUUGUUGCUUGGAAACUGUAUACUGUAUAUUGUAGUACAUAUGUAUAUUAUAUGCAGGUGCCCUUCAUUGUGUGAUCUCAGGUAGAGGUCCAUUUAAUUUUGUUUUGUUAUUUUUUACUUUUUGCUUUCUUUAUUGUUAUAGUUUUUACAAUAAUCUGUGAUCAAAAGCUAGUCUGGUUAUAUUGUUAUGAACGUUAAAUAAACUAUUUUGACAGUUGAA